UUUAGUCCAUGACUCGACUCUGAGCCCCUCCCCCGAAAUACUUUAUAAAAGACAAAACUUCAAGGUAAUAGAGAAUAUAGGUGUGUCUAUUAGCGUCUGCAUUCUGAUUGGCUGAGUUGAGUGACGUCACAUAUGUUGUAUCCUCUCAAAAAUUAAAAUGAUAAUACUAAUAUAACAACGUGAAUUGAGAAUUUAUCAUGGUGGUGGAUGAUAUAACUCUCUUCAAUGUAAUGGUCUGGUCAAGGGAUCUCGACUCUUAAGGCAAGAUCCAAUGAACAAGUGUUUCACUCGGUAGAUCUCAUCUCCUUUAAUGGAAAGAUCGUUCAUUGUCCAGAUCUUCCACGGAAUCAUAGUAUACCUCUACAUAUAAAAACUAAGGAGUUCCA
rnacentral:lncRNA from 1 species